AGAUGUUAGGGUGAACUGACUGUGACAGUUUCUACCCCAUUGUCAGGGGUGAUUUGGUUUAUCUGUCUGGCUAGGUGGAUAUCCUCUUUCUAGCUCAUUGCUCCAUAGGUGUCGCAUCAGAAACUAUGCACUUGGUCAAAAAGGGUGACCGUUCACCUAUAGAGAAAAAUCAUUCUUCAGUAGAGAGUGACUCAGUAAUUACACCCCUACCUAUUGCCUACCAACAUGCUCUUAAGUGUGCUGGAAAGAUGAGCUCUGUCAGUAUCUUUUAGAAACUUAGCUCUGCU
ensembl:misc_RNA 7SK 7SK RNA